UCCUACGGGGGGCAGCAGUAGGGAAUUUUCGUCAAUGGGCGCAAGCCUGAACGAGCAAUGCCGCGUGAACGGGGAAGGUCUUCGGAUCGUAAAGUUCUGUUGAAGGGGAAAAAGAGCGGAGAGAGGAAAUGGUCUCCGAUUGAUAUUACCCUUCGAGGAAGUCACGGCUAACUACGUGCCAGCAGCCGCGGUAAUACGUAGGUGGCGAGCGUUAUCCGGAAUGAUUGGGCGUAAAGGGUGCGUAGGCGGCCUGCUAAGUCUGGAGUGAAAGGUACCGGCUCAACCGGUACAGGCUCUGGAAACUG
rnacentral:rRNA from 1 species